ensembl:lncRNA
CGCUUGCCCCCCUCGUUCUCCCCCCUGGGUGCGUGUGUGCGUACCCCUCCCGGCGGCUGACCCCAACCCAGGGCUGACCCUUGGGAAGGAGGGGAUCUAGAGAGGGGACAGCCCCAUUUCGCACCCAGAGAUUGGCUAUAAGGAGAAGGCUGACGGCUGCAGCAUGAAGCGCAUUAUUACCUUGUGAUUCCAUGACCCUCCUCUAUGCAUCCCUAACUCUCGAAAGCUGAUUCAGCUUUCAGCUAGUGCUCUGGUGAGUCCUCUGCUGCAACAGAAGCUCCUAACUGGUAUGUCUCUUUUUUUCCUUCCCCUCUUCUGCUCCCUUUCUUCCCUCUAACUGCACUAGCUCAGCUCGUUUUUAAACACUUUUCUGACCGAUGCAGGACUGAGUGCCCAUCCAACUUACCCGGGGACUUAAAUGUCUGCUUUUGCAUCCGGCAAAUGUGUGUGUGCUGCGUGUGUGUGUGUCUGUGUGGGGAUGUGCCGGCUGCCUCUAAUCCAUGGAUGAGUUGGGAGACCUUCCCCCCACCUUUAUUCUUUUUUGUUGUUGUUGUUCUGCUGUGGCAUACUCUGCAUUUAAAGGGGGGGAAAAAAAAAAGGAACAAACUGCAGAGCAAGCAGUGCACUAUAAUAAUCUGAACUGAAAUGUUAGAACUUUGACAUGCAGCCGUUCUGCAAGGUUAAACUGGCCUUUAAAUGCCUAAUUCAGAGCCAGGCUGGCUAAUGACACCUAGGGGGAUUGGGGCUUCAUUUAUUUAUUUGCACCAAACUAGUGGCUCUGAGCUAAUACCAAACAGAGCAAAAGGGUGAAAUGUGGUUAAACUUAGCCUAACUUGCAGUGAUCUCAGUGCUGCGGUGAUUAACUGUUCCAAUGCCGAGAACUGAGCGUUAAUUGCGGACGCAUGGCUUGUGGGCAAUCAGAAAGGAGAUGCAAGGAGAAGUUAGGUUUUCCCUGCAAGGGGUUUGAAUUCAGGUUACACUUCAUCCAUCAAUCGGCUGUUAUUGCUUUUGCAGCUGAGAGUUAGCUGUGGUCAUUAUAUUUUAUAUGAUAGUGGUGAUACCUGAUCACAUAAAUGUAUAUGCAUUGGUAUUGUGUGAGGGGUACUGUGUUAUAUACACGCAUGCACACAAACUGGGAUAUCUUUUAUAGCAUGCAUAUGUAUAUUUUACACGGCUUUAUACAGAGAUAUUAAAUGCUAUUAUAAACAGGUGUAGCACAUGAUCCCAAUUCAAUGCACCUUCAGUCUGUGCUUGGAGUAUGGCUAUUUGCAUAUGUCUGUGCUGGAGAGAGUGUGCACUCAGCAGUCGUGUGUAAUUGUGGAGGCAGAGCCCUGUGAUCUGGCUGGCAGUUUAAUUGCUGGUUCCCUGGUGCGGGUGGCCAUGCUGCCGCCCCAAAGGACUGAGCCUGGUCCAUUCCCUGCAGCUCGGCCCUGCUGGCUUUCCUUGGCUGUGCCCAGCCCCAAACCAGGCUGCCUCCAAGUCCCUGAAGUUUUGCACUGCACAGCCACAGCCUGACUUUGCCACCGGGACUGGAGGAGCUCCUCCAGAAUGGGAUAGAGGGAGCAGGUGUACAGCAUCAUGCUUCCAUCCUUCCCACUCCCUCCAUCCCUCCAUCUCCAUCCUUCCCUUUUAUUUGCUCCUUGCACUCUGCACUAUCCACAUUCCCAUGCAUUUUUCCCCCCACAACAACCACAAUUUUAUUGUGCAGCUUUUUCUGCUCUGGGUGAGCCGAGGUGUGUGGAGGAUGCUGGGCGAUGCUCGCCCACCACCCAUUACUCCUGGUGCUCACUGUAGGAUGUGGACCACAAAGUGCCUCUGGCGUCACCAUUAAAUCACCACCACGCCGCAUGUCUGCUCCUCCACCAGCAGGGCCAACCCUACAACUCACGGGCAGAUUGAAAUCUAGAUCCACCGCCUUUCUGGGAGCAACCAACAGAUGAACCUCCCUGCUGCGGUUGUUCCACUGUCUUCAAUAUUUGUAAGGAUUUUAUGUGCCGUCUUUUAGUUCCCUGUAGUUGGCUGGCAUCCCCUUCUCCUGCUCAUCUGCAGAAGUUUGGGACAGUUCAGGACAGUCCAUGGCAGGUGGAUUUCAGGAAAGCAAAUCGGGAGUGAGGUGAAAUGUGCAAUGGUCCAAGACGUCAAGUAGCUGUUCUGUUCCGUUGCUUGGCCUGUUGGUGUUUGUCUGAGGGGAAUUCAACAUGGCCAAGCGACUUGGCCAUGUGAAACCCACCUGAACUCAGUUCUUUGUGGGCUUUUGAGGAAUUCUUUUUAGAAUCGGAGCACCCAGGCUUUCCCUCACGCUCCUCUCCCUUCACUUUAAUUUCACUGCAGUCAUGCAUUAUCAUGGUGCCACAGCUCCAUCUCUCUUCCCAUUACUCCAAACCAGUGGUGGAAAUUUGCCUCAAAAUGAGACAAAUGACGACAUUUAGUGGGGCCAGAAGCCCUGUGGCAGUGAGGAAGGGCACAGUGCCGAACCAGCACUGGGCUCACACCCACUCUGCUGCGUGGUGCGUGGCACUGAGGGGUUGGGGCGAGCCCAUGGGUUUGCACCCCGGCUCUGCGGGGCUUUGCAGCCUGAUGGUGUGGAAGUCAAUCAGCACAGGGAAGUAUUUACUCCCACUCUCCCAGUGAUAUAUUUCACAAAGCAGCGGAAAAAAAACAAACAAAAAACCAACAAAACAAAAAAAAAAACCACCCAACACAUCGAUACAAUUAAGUAUUCCAAAGUGCUUACUUUGCCACUUGCUAAGUUUACUUAAACCCUCUUUAAAGGCUUCAUUAGAAACCGGUGAGAAAUGGCCAAAUUCAUUAGCGUCGAGGCAGGCGUUGUGCAUUUCGCCUGCAAAUUGCAAUCGAGCGGCGGCGGGGCGAGGGGCGCAGGUGAGCGCACACCCGCUGUGCUGAGCGAGCGGCAGCGCCCGCCGUGACCUCCGGAAUGCCGCCCUGCAUUCAGCCCAGCCACAUUGUUCCGGAGCUUUAAAGCUCAGCGUGGCUGCUGGCGGAGGGCAGAGGCAACGGGAACUGAUGGCUGCGUGUGGGGAUGAGCCCCACGGGGACAACUCCGAAAGACUUUUUUGGCCUAAGCCACCAGCACGGGGCUGGGGCUGCUUUUUAGUUUGCAUCUCUGCUGGUGUCUACCCCAGGUGUGGGGCUCCGCUGGAUGACUUGUGAAAAGCGAAUUGUUUUUUAUAUACGUUUUUUGAAUACCCCGAAAUCCCCCGCCCUUCUCCCAAGGUAUAUUGGGGAUUGUUUGCUGCAAGGUAGUGUCACACUCACGGUGACCAGCAGAGGAAAAAUCACUGGAUUCUUUAGGUAAGAUGCUUUCUUCUUCCUAUGCCUUAAUCUCUACUUAGUGCUGGAAGCGAUGGCGUGUCUGUAGCUGGUGAGUUCUCUUGCUCUGCCAGAUGGAGCACUUCUUGCUGGUGUUGCUUUGUAAAUCAGUGCCGGAUGCUGGAUUUUGGCUUUCUGAAAGCAAAUUGGCUUCUUGUUUCUAAAUUGCAGGAUGGAGGCGAUCGGGAUUUGAUAUCUACUUAACCUCCACCCACAUGGCUUUGUCUAAAUCUAUAUACACACACAUAUAUAUAUGCAUAUAUAUAUAUAUAUACACAGAAAGCAAAUUCCUUCAACUAAAGCCUUUUUAAUUGCUGAAAGUUUGCAAUUUCAGUGAAAGCAUCCUCUUUGUAGGGGGGCUGGGAGUGGGGCUUUUCCUCUGUGCCAUUCCAUGACAAAGUGCUGCAGGCACUCCAGGCAUUGCCCACUGCCUCUUCCCAGCCCUAAACCCCAGCAACCUGCAGGGGCAGAGCCGGAAUGACCAGCAAGGGGAGUGAGUGUGUGUGUGUGUGUGUGUGUGUGCAUGCAUGUGUGUGUUUUGCACAUGGGCUGCCUCAAACUGUGCUGUAACUCACUCCUGGGAAGUAAAUGGCACGCCAGCCCUAUUUCCUCCCGUGUACAUAUAAAUGCGCAUAUUGAACCUACCUGCUUGAGAGACAUACUUCUUUAUAUGCCCAUAUGAACCUGGCAAUCUAUGGAAUGUAAAGAAGUAUGUAUUUCAGGUGGGAACUCUUCUCGGAGGAGCAAUGUAUGACCCCGUGUGAAGGGGGGGGGGGGGAGGAAGACAGACAGAUUUUUGUCUUUUUUUUUUGAGAUGCCUGACAUGGCAGACUGGCUGGGGAGUCAAUUGGUGAUCUUGUUCCAGUGCGUGUAUUGUUCUGUCACUUUGCCUGUGUCAGCAGGUGGAAAUGCUCAUCAGGACAUUAAAUAUUCAAUAUGCUGACUGCGGCAUGGGCUUUGAAAGGCGAUGCCAGAGGAAAGCUGGCUGUCCACUCCUGGUUUUCAGCGGGGAUACAGACCAGUCCCUCCGGAUUGCUGCUUCCCCCUCGGCCCUUUUUCCCAAAAAUAAGGCUGGGUAAAAGAGCUGGUCCUUAAUCCUAGGGAAAAGGAAAGGAGUUGGAGGCGGGGAGAAGAAGGGAAGGAGUUGUGACUUGGAGGUGCAGUAUUUUGGCUUCACGUAAAUACGCAGACAGCUUUUGGGAUGUUUCCUGUGUUAAAACUUUUUGUGCUUAAUGCUGGAGAGGAAGCAAUGUUCACUGUGCGUGUGUUGGCCCUUGGACAUGGCCAGUGGGUGCCCAGCUCCCAGCCAGAGGCAGUGAGCGCUCCCAGUGUGUGUUAUUAGAGGGUUAUUAGAGGGAAAUAAGGAAAAUAGCACCUUGAAUUUGAGAAGCUUUCCUGGUGUUCUGGUUUUCCUUUUUAACCUUUCUCAUCGUAAAACACCUGGUUAUUCUCCCAGCAUCCCACGGCAGUGAGAUGCAAUGAUACAAAUGGGUGUAACGUUCUGUGCGAACAAUCAGAACUUUCUGUCUGGGUAGGGGCGGGUGAAGCUUUCAGCCCCCAUUUUCCUCAAGCUUAUGAGAUGCACAUAUCUGGGCUGUUAGGCACUGCAUUUCUCCAUCCCACCUACUCCCAAACUUAUCCCCAUCACCCCGCCGUGCAGCCGAGGGCACAGCAGUGUUCUGCUCUGGAGCAAGUUCCCUCUGGUUUCAGCACAUCUCUGUGCUUGGCAAAAGUGCUCUGAAGGCCUUUGCUGAGCCUCAGUUUGUUGUGAUUCAUGGCAAGCACUGCUGCCACUUGUUACACGUACACCAAAUGGGGUUUAACGGAAAGCAGGCACUUGUGAAUAGCAGGUUAAGUAAGGAGGGCUGGGCUCUUAAGGAGAUUUCCAAUGUACAGAAUUCUGUAAGUUUUAUAAAUCUUUCUUUUUUUAGAAAGAUGAUACAAGUGGUGGACACACAUGGAGUGCUCAACCUCUGCUUGGGGGAGGAGGGACCUCUGCUUUGCCAGGUGCUUUGAGGAGAGGCAUUGUCCCCUGGACAGGGAUGGGUCCCAGCCACUGAGGGUGUCCUGCCCCAGUUUGGGGCCACAAUUAAAUACAAAGGUGCUGGGAAAUGAAUAGAGACGGAGCAGCAGAGUUCCCAUGGCCAAACAGGGCUGCAAUUUCUCUCACUUGUACAUCACUGCUGGGAGCUUGACUUGCUGUGUGAAAAAUGGGGAUGAUUCUCACCAUUCUGGCCACAAUAGCAAUUUCCCUCCUCUCCCAGGUGACCUUUUACCCUACCUCUUCUCGAUUCCCUUUUCCUCACUGCUUUCCUCUCCUUCCUUCUUUCCUUGUCUUCUACUUGUGUGCUUCUCAUUUUCUCCUUAUUUCUAGCUUGCUUUCUUGCUUUCAACUCCGCUCUUAUAUUUUUCUCUUCUUUAUUUUCUUUUUUUUUUUCUCUUUUCUUUCAUUCUCUCAUUGUCUUGCUCUUUCUUUUUCUUGUUUUCUUCUCUUUCUCUGCAUUCUCAGCGCGGGUGUUACUGAGCCUUCCACAUCACUGUGCAUAUCUCUAGCGAAGGUGCUCAUGGUCUGAUUUACAACAGAUACCUGCAUCCCUAAUGCAAUUUUUAUCUCCUUCCCCCUCUCUGAAUUAAUAUGCUUGUUAAUCACACGGAAUUGCUAACUUUAGGAAGUCACUAAGUGUUCAGAUUUAUUUUUAUGUAAAUAUUUUCAAAACCAUAACUCAGCUCUGUCUCACGGUGUGGGAGCCACGUGGUGGAGGUGUGUGGGUGCAGAACACAUCCUGAGACCCUACCCCAUCUCUGGUGCAGUGUGGCAAUGCCAAAAAAUAAAUAGAAAUGCUGUAAAGACCCCAAAACCACGUCAGCCCUUUAGUCAUUAGCAUCGUCCACCAGUUUGCGCCAUUCUUACUCUUAGCUCCAGCUCCUUCUCGCUUUUCUUCUUGUUUGGAUUAAAACUGUGACUGUUCCUCCACACUAGGUCCUCCCUAUUUCUUAGCUUGAAGAAAGCCUCUUCUCCUUCGCUCUCCAUAGAGCAGAGCUGCAGGUUCUGUGCUGAAGCGAGGCGCGAUGCUCGGCUGUGCCCAUCCGUCCCGCAAAGCGCGCACUGAGCGGUCCCACCAGCAGAAACGGGAGCUCUGAGGACUGUAAAAGCCAUAAAUCCAGUGGACCAAAUUAGUUACGUUUUCCUAUUCUAUGCCUCACAAAACCCAUCCGUUCUUGAGAUGAAUUUUCUGCACAUAAGAGGAACUACGGGCAGGUAUAGAAUGGGAAUUUUGCACACGCGCAUGGGAGCACGGGGAUGAAUUCGUGCUGUGUGUUUUCCCCUGAAUUAUUUUUUUCCCUUUCAUGUGUUUAUGUUGAUGAGCUAUUAUUACUUUUGUUGCUAUUACUUAAUACUGGAAGACAGGUGGUCCAAUAAAUCCCAGCACUCUUCUUUUGUAAAAAAAAAAAAAAAAAGGGGGGGGGGGGCAUAUUUGCAAUUCAAGUUUAAUAGUGCAUUCAUCAAGAGCAAUAAAGCAUUCAUUUUAUUGCACGAGUAUUUCAAGGGAUGUGCUGGCCCUGGUGAAAGCAUUAGUAAAGGGGUGCAUCAGCAAUCUCAUUUAAAACUGUCGACCCAAUGUGAAAAAUGUUGCGUUGAAGAAUAAACUGCUAUUAAGCAUGAUUAGAUUGACCUGCAGGACAGAUAUUUUAGCUGCUGCAGCACAAGUCGAUCAAAGUGAGCAUCGCUUAGAUUGCAAAUUUUUUUUUUUUUAAUGCCCUAAAUUAAAAAUGAAAGAGCCUCAGAAUAUUUAGGACCAGAGAGUGACUUUGGGGGUGAGAUUUGUGUGUUUGAUUUGAGGAGGUUUGGAAAGGUGGAGAACGGGGGGAAAACAUAUUAAUUGCUGCCCCUUUAGCAUACAUUGAAAGUAUGUUACUCGGAUCAACCAAUCAAAAAAGAAAUUGUGCUGACUCAGCAUUCGGGCUAGUCUGCACGUCCGAUUGCAGAAGAGAUCAGCACUGCACUGCAGUAUCUUUCCCUGCCUUUGACACCAGCCUAGCUGGGCAGGGCUUCCCUUGUGCUUCCCAGGACUGGGUUAGGCCAAGAACAAGAGCGGGCUCUGAAGAAUCGAGGAGAGAGACAAGGUUGCAGGAGCCUUGAGCUGCUCCGAGGCUUUUUAGUCUGUAAGCAAGAGCUUCCAUGCUAGGUUUGCCCUGCCAGAUGCGAGCGGCAUGUAUUGCUUGGGAAUAUAUCUAUUUUUAAAGAGUUUCACCACAUCUUGCACUUCACGGUGGCUGUGGGCGAGGGGGUGGUGUGUUCCUUGCAAGAGAAAUAUCCUCGCUCCGGAGCUCGCAUCCCUCCCCUGAAAGCCGGGCGCUGAUUUCAGCGAUUCCCUCCCAGUGAAGGCGCUCAGUUUAGCGCUUUCUGCUGAAGUUGCUCUUGACCUGAAGCCAUCAUGCAGCAAGAUGCUUCCCUGUUGGGAUGCAGGGUCAUGGCGAGUGCAGCUCAUUGCACCGCCUGCUUGCUGGGCUGCAGGCAGCUAUGCUGCUCCCCUGCCUUGCAUUCCCCCAGAGGGAGGGGGCUGCUCAUGUAGAGAUGCUGAAGCCAUUGCAGGGAUAGGACUGGAGAAGGUCUUGGUGCAAUUACCCAAGAACAAGCUCAUUCUGAGUGUGUAAUGGCCAAAAUGCAAAGUCUUGUGCAGCCUCCUCAACAGGCAGAGCUCCAAGCCGCCUGCCUCCUCUGACACCCUGUAAUUCUCCAAAGGAGAUUCUGCUCACACUGUGUAAGCAGUGUCAGCAUUCACCCUUGCUUUGAGCUUGCAUUUCUUGCAUAGAGGUCUGUAUGAAGGAACAGAGGCCAAUAGCCAUGUGCACGGGUGGAAGGUUGUCAGAGGACAGACACACUUGGAAUAAGAGGCAAGUUUAUAGUGAAGCUUUUAGCAGUUGGAGCAGUUUUGGUGGUGCUCAGGAUGCUUUGAUGGAAACAGGGUGCCUGACAUCUUAAAACAGAUGCAGCUUUUCCUUUUUUCCCUCUUUUUUUUUUCUUUCUUCUCUUCUCGAAGCACAGCACUCUGCCUGUGCCAUGUCCAGAUAUGGCCUGCGCUGGGAUGGGAGCUGCUAGCUAAAAAAGCCACAGGCAGCCCAGCGGGACCAGCAGCAGCUGGUAUAAAUAGUGCUCAUUCUCAGCUGCCCCUCUGCCGGGCCGGAUUAGGUGGCAUCUGGGCAGCCAGGGGCUCGUGACCACCGGCUGCAGAAGUCCCCAAGCAGCUGUGAGGGCAGGAGCCGUCCCUGCAAAGCCCUUACAUAGGCACGUCGACCCUGGCAUUUGGGGGGUCGGGUAAAGCUACCGGAGCAGGAAUCCGGUGACCUAAGAAUGAUCAGGAAUAAAUUUCAUCGCGGCAUCCAGGCAGAGCUUCCAAUCUGGGACAUGGCCCAAGGUUGGAGGCAGGAUCUGGCCUUCUGCUUUUUACCCCAUUGCAUGCAUGUGGAAUCUGCAGGGAUGGUGAAGCAUUGCUCAGAGUGGCCAAGAUGCGGUUGCGUCCCCCUCUAGGACACAAUGAGUUAAUUUACUGUCAGUGAGAUUAUUGGAAUCUGAUUUAAUACUUGUGUUUACUUCAGGUCAACAAAUUAAAAAAAAAAACAAACCAACACCACAACAAAGCUUAAUAAUUUAAGGCACCAGCUUGAUGGAGGCUAAUAGAAAAUAAUGCAUCUCGUGCAGAGAUUUCCAUCCCAAGCUUGCAGAGCAUGCAGUGUGUGCCCCUCCUGCCAUGCCUGCAGUCAAUGCCAUGGGAAGGGGCGGUGUGGUGCCUGGAGGCAGCUCAUGAUGUAUGGAAGUAAAAAAAUUGAGCAGUGAAUGGGAUUGGUUUGACUGAGUGGAGAUAAACGCGCAGGCAGUAGCUGAAAUGUGAUGUGCGUAGUGGGGGAUGUGGGAUAAAACUCUGUUGGCAUCACAGGUCAGAGUAGAGAGGGUCUGCUGGCGGGCAGGUGAUGCAUGGGUGGGCACAGGUGAUACUCAGCGUAUGAGUAAAGGUUGUUGCAGAGUGUGUUGGGGAUGGUCCCAAAGUGACCACAGUCUGGGUAGGAGAUGCCUGGAGCCUUCAGGUGCACUGGGAGAUGCGGCACUACUCGCAGGGUGAGAUGGCAGUUCCUUAGUGGGGAAUGGCUUCACCGCUAAAUCAGUGCCGGAGCUUUGUCCCUUCCCUUCCUUGCCGUGUCAGGGCUCUGAGCCACACCAGGUUGUGUUCUUUAAUUUAAGCUUUGUCCUAAAGCCUUGUCUCAGAGAUAAUAAGACGCACACACAUACGCACCCACUAAAAUCCAUUGUGCCAUUUUUGCAAAGAACAGCAGAAGCUGCCCGUGUACCUUCCCCUCUCUGUCCUCCACACUCAUUUGGCCUAUUUGAAGUGGAAUUUAUUCCUGGGAAGGUCCCCAUCAAUUUGCCUUGCUCUUUUGUUGACAAGUUUAUUAAAAACCUGGGCAACUCCAUAUUAAACUUUUAUCAGUGUCGAGGAAGAAUACGUCCUUAGAGCGGCCACAAAAGUUAUGGAUUGGAUCUGAACAUUUCUUGUUCCACUGUCCAGCUGAGUCAGCUUAACAAAUAAAAGCUGCCACCUCCAUUUUUUUCCCUUCCUCAAGAGACAGUUCCCUUUCCCGUGUAAGUAACAGCAGCAAUAACACAAGGAGGUUUCAGGGCCGGGCAAACAGGAGCUUUUCUUUGCACCCACCAGUCCUUACUGCUGAUUAGAAUAAUAAUAUUAACAGAAAACAGGAAUAAAAUAAGAGCCCUGCCGGUAGUUAUAGCUUCUUACCUCUGAGCUAAUUGUUUGUGUAAAGUAAUCUCUACUUUAUAGACAAAUAUAUGAAAAAAAUACCCCCCAAAGUUAAUAUGGGUUGUACUGAGAGCAACGUGAGUAGUUUCACAUUUCCAUACCCUGCAAGGGCACGGAGGGUUGGCAGCGCGGCCGGCGGCAAUACUCGGUUGGGGAUGUGCGGAACCGUCGCUCUUAUUCCUUUAGUUGUAAGAUUAAACCAAGAGGAGGCCAACGUGUUGCAGGGGAGAUGUUAAAAAUAAAGCGCUGGCAUCGCAUAACCUAGUUCCUGUUUUGCCUUGCAAUGGAGUUUUUAUGAGUUGAAAGAAACCGGCGAAACAAUCGGUGAGACGGAUUUUGAGCUGCCAGAACGGAGACAGGCAGGGGAGAAGUGAACCGAGUGGUGGCUCUUAACCUCUGCCAGAUAAAUAAAUAAAUAUCUGUCCCCAAACAACAUAUUUCUUGGCCUGUCACCGCGUCCAAGGAUUUUUUAGUUCUUAAACAGGUUUGCUGGCAUAAUUUGUCAAGUACAACAGGGAGGUUUCCGUGUGACAGAGGAUCAUUUUUCACCGCGCACGGUGGGGCACCGAAACAGUCCUGCAGGCUCAGAGCAGCUCCAUAAUUAGAUAACAGUUAACAUACGUGUAUUAGAGGGAUCAUCCUUCAUGCUAUGGGGCACAGCAGAGCCUGCCACUGCCGAUACCGUGCUGUGCCGAAAGCAGGCAGGGAGCGGGCCGGACAAAUGCAUCUUACUCCAGGAGUUUAUCUGCAUCACCAUUUGCUCCAAUUAUAACUAAUUGGACACAUAUUGCAUUUUCAUAGCAUCUAAUUUUCUAUUGAUUUUAACGGGACUGAUGGUGUUUUGUACUGUUAAGUGGUAUCUCGUACCCGUUGUUGUUUAAAAAUGCUGAGUACACUCCCCUGUAUGGAAUUAUGCAGUCAGCAGAUGUUUUAAAACCUCUUUAAUUGUUCGGUCCAUAAAAUGCACAAAGUGUAUUAGGGAACAGCUUUGUUCUCUUUGAGUGUGUGAGUUUAAAAAUCCAAACUCCAAACUAUUUCUGCUGCCAGUUCCAGGAGCUGCAGCUCUCGGCGGGCAGCCCUGUCCCAGGGGUGGGCUCCCUGCUGCAAUGGAUGCUCCGCAGUUCUUAGGCUGUGUAUGAAGCAGGACCUUCAGCUCCAGGGUGAAAUUUGGAUUAAGACGAAGAUGUUCAUAUUGAGAGUCAAGAUUUUGAUAAGGUCACUUGUGGUCUCCUGUAUAACUAAGGAAUAAGCUGGUAAUUGGUAGGAUUUGGGGUUAUAUUCUCUGUUAUAGAUCUUGCUCUCUGUCUCGACAGUACGUCCAAAUAAAACCGGACUAUCAAAUUAGCCACUGCAUUUCAGCAAAUACUCAGUGAAGCAGGAUGAAAGCAAUAGUCCUCUGUUCAGCAUCAUUUAAAGAAGAAAAGAUUUAAAUGAGAUAUGUAGUGGAGGAGCAGAGAGGCAGCCGGGAAAAAGCUUUCCUAGCAUUGAUCAUUACAAGCAUGGUGGAGAUUUGAACGCUUCGGAUAUUGGCAUAUGAGGAAGAAGGUUUUUAUGCUGAGGGCGGUGAAGCACUGGCACAGGUUGCCCAGAGAGGUGCCCCAUCCCUGGAGACACCCAAGGUCAGGCUGGAGGGGCUCUGAGCACUGAUGGAGCUGUGGGUUUCCCUGCUCAUUGCGGGGGGUUGGACCAGAUGGGCUUUAAAGGUCUCUUCCAAAUCAAGCCAUUCUGUGACCCUGUGAUUAAAGGUAGAUAGGGCAGGCAAUAGGAUAUGGGAAUUGUUCUGCCUGGGGUGCCUGUGGGCUGCCAUCAACCCGCUGCCUUCUCCAGCCAUUAGCAAGAAUUGCAUCAUGUUGGUGGGAGACAGGUGGGAUCAUGGAGGUGUAUAAACUAAAUAGACACUUUAUUAAGUUCAGGUAAUAGUUUUGAAAGACUGAGUGGCUACUGCACUGUCAGCAGCUCCUUUAGUGCCCAUAGGAACUGAGUGCUUUUUAAUUAAGUCAAAUAAAAUCCAAGCGGAAGACUUCCCAGCCUUGGCUGAAGCAUAUUUUUUGGGUUGAAUACCUAUAAUUUUAGAAAUGUUAAUAAAACACAGUCCACUUUUUCCCCUGUAAUAAUAUAAAUUAAAUUAAUAUUUUAUGUCUGUAAGAAAAAGGAUAAAAGCACCGAGGUUGUAUUUUCUGGCUUACAAAUGGCACAUUGUGCAGAAUACAGCAACUGUGGCAUUGAUUUAAACAUCCUCGCAAAGACACCAUGCAAUAAAGUUGAAUCAUCUGCAGUACAAGUAUGGCUGUUUGGGGGAAAAAUAGCCAAAUGAGAGAGCAGACGUUUUCCUGUAUUAUCAAAAGCCACUUCAUUUUGGGGAAAAUUCCUCAGAUUUAGUGACAUUUGGAUGGAAAUCAAAUAACACAUUAACUUGAGGAAAGGGAAAAAAACCUUCCAAAGCUAAUUACAGAGGGAAUGUGCACUUCAUUAAGAUAAAGCUGUAAGAAAUCAAUGUUCUGUAUUGUUGUUUUUUCCUUUUGAUUGGAUUUUAGCAUGAUAAAUUGUUAAUGCAUUUGAUCUAAAAAUGAUUUGUUUAUUCAGAUGAAGAGCAACAGUACUUUGUCUCAUUUGGCCUUUUAGCUUAUAAUGAUAAUGAUUUCAAGAGAUGUUCAUUUCUCAAAAGGGUAUUGGACUGGAAUAAGCAGGAGAUUUCUGGACUCAGAAGGAUGGGCCCUACACAAGGGUUCCUUGUAGGCUAAUUCUAUUGCAUGUUGAAUCUUCUGCUUCAUUAGGAAUAUCGACAAAUGUUGAUAAAUUCUUUGGCUAUUCUGUGCUGUCUAUAUAAAACAUCUUCAUUAGAAUGUUGAGGCUAAAGCACAAAGGUCUUCAUUGCCCCAGGUUCUCUUAUGUUGCCCACUUUUGGCCCCACUUGCCAUGGCAGUGCUUUGAUAACACAGGGAUCUGGCUGCUCUCAGAAGUGUAAUCAUGAACUGCAAAGCUGACACUUAGACCAAAAGCAAAACCGAGGCAUUACACAGUGACUGGCAGAGAGGGGAAUGAGAUGCACAGCUUUAUUUUGCUAUUUUGCCUUGGAUUUGCUUCAGAGAUGUGUUCCUAUAUCUCCCCAGUGCCAUUCCACUAUGUGGCCAUUCCUGGCUGGGGCGGUGUCGGUCCCAUGGGCAGGGUCCUAGGGACAGAGCGACCAGAAAGGACCUUCCCAGUGAGACCCAAUUCCAAGCACUGCUGGGAGGAAACAACUGGAUGAGGAUGACCUUCAGACAGCAAACCUAAAUUUGGUGGCGCUGGGUCGCCCGGUCCUUGAACCUGGGAGGGCAAUAGGAAGGGUAAGUGACACCAAAGCCUGGUCUGACUGGGUUUCAGCACAGCUCACACCUUUGAACACAUCCAGCAAAGCCUCUGCAGUUCCUCUUGCUGCACUGCUGGCCGGGCCCAGGUGUGUGGGGGCUGUGAGCCCCAUGUGCUGCAGCCCUGCAGCAGAGGUGUGGGGAUGCUUUUCCUCAGUUCUGGGAAAGCCUCGCCGCCAGAGCCAUCGUUAGUCGUGAUUAAUGGCAUCCAGAAGAGAAAACCUAAUUUUCUAAAAAGGAAAACCUCACUCAUAACUCACUGCAGAGAAUUCAAACAAAACGUUACGGAAUGUCGGCGCGUGCUGGCAUUGAUUUCGGAUGUGCUGCGGGGCACUCCCUGAAGCAAAGCGAGGGGAACAGAGCAGCACUCAUCUCCAGCAGAAGAUGCUUGUUUUAACGCCCUUCCUGCCAAAACCAAUGGGAUGGGGACAGGACAAGGGCACCUGGAGCACGCCAUGCUGAUGUUCGGGCAGUUCAUUGCUCUGCCUCCCAAAAUCCAUAUGCCCGUCAGGGUUUAGCUUGCAGUCUCGGUGCAGCAUCGGUCACUGCUGGCACUUCCACCUCCUCCCGUUCUCUGGUAAAUAAUUACUUCCCUCCCUCCUAUAACUCACCAAAGGAUGAGUUUAAUACUUCUAGGUCCUCACUGUCUAAGUUUCCAUUUAGCUCCUUGGCUUGAUUGUCUCUUGAAAAGGUACCUAGAGAUAACUCGAUUAAAUUAAUUGUAGAGCUCUUUUAAAAAAGAUGUUCUCUCUCUCUUUCGCUCUCUCUCCGCAUUUAUUUAUAGGCAGCUUACAGUACUGGGGCUGGGCAGUUAAGUGAUCUGCACUACUUACUGUUACAAUGCAAAGCCUGGAUUUCUUGGGGACCAGCAAUACCGGCCCACAUGCAAUAUCUCUGCAUGCAGUGCCUUUCAGCACAGGUGCUUUUUUCUCGGUGUCAUGUCGUGGUGUGUGCGGUGGGCUGUGAGGGAGAGGGGGGAAAAAGUCACCUUUGCCUCGCGAUGCAUGUAAAUUCUUUAAAUAGGUUACGCACGUGGCGAUGUGCAAUAUCUGCGCGUGGCGCUGGGUUACGAAGGAGAGGUCUGGCUUUAUUGGCUCCUGCUGCUGUGAUUUAAAAAUCUGAUUUACUGAGUUAUUGGGAGCAGUGGGUGCUCACAGCGUGGGGCUCUCCGGGAGCUGCAGGCUGAGCCCUUGCAGAGGAUGGGGCUGGGAGGCUGCAGGGCUGCUCCGCUUUCUCUUCCACUCAACGCCCUCCCGAUGGUGGUAAAUACAGUCCUUGCUUGUCUUCAACAGAUCUGAAAGCCAUGGAAAGCACUGAUUUUAAAGGUAGAUGAGAAAACUUGAGUUACCAGAAUGCAGGGCACGGGUGGGGAUAGCAGACAAAAGAUCUGAAAGAAAGAAGGCUGGAGGUGGCAAUUAAAUGACCUGGAUUAGGACACUACUCAGUCACACUGUGGUAGCAAUGCAGCUUCAAAACAGAGCCAAACACCGGGUUUAAAAGGCUACAGGCAGGCACUGAGUGCUGCAGACUGUUCCACUGCUUUUAAAACUGCCUCUUUAAUUCAGACUCGCUCUUCAGCCAAAGCUGCUAAGAAGCUUAAAUAAAUCCUGAAUGCCUGAAAGCGAAGCCAUGUGAACCCGUGCAACGUCAGGCAGCAAGUUCAGAAGAGGUCCUGGCGACUGUGAAGGAAAAGGCCCUGAGGAGUUCCCCUCUUUGCUUUGCAGAGCGUGAGGCCAAAUGCUUUGCUAAAGCUGGUAAAAUGGAACCAAAUCAACUGUUCAAUGGAUUUGGUCCCCUUCAACCAGCUGUAGCUGUGCAUUGAUCUCUCAGACGCACCUCGGAGGCUGACCCGGACAGCAGAAGAAAUGGGCACGUGAGAGGGGCCAAGGAGGGAUGCUGAUGGCUGGCGUCUGCAGAUCUGUCACCCGGGCUCUAAACUGGUGGGCUGAGCCCGAGCCAUUAUGUGGCUGCCAGUCAAUUCUGUGUAACGGAGACCACUCAAGAUUGAUAAUCUCUAUCGUCCUCCUGUAUUGAUCCCAGCUGUGAUUCAGGUCUGUGUAUUUCAAGUGCAAAUGCUGUACGUUUUACGUGUGAUUGCUCAGACACCUCCCCCCCAGGAGCCUCGUGCCUGUGUUUCAUCCGCUGCAAUGAAGAAUAAACGUUUUGAUCUGAAGUUCCCUCCUUGUGUUUUGUUCCAUGCGCUGAGCUGCUCACGAAAUGGGAAUUCUGGGGCUGGCAAGGCAGGGAAUGGGGUGGAAGCACCUGCUGCUUCCCAGCUGCCCCAAACUGGCCAGCAAUAUUGGGUGAUUUGAGAGAUAAUAGCUUUGUUCCAAAAAAAGUCUCCAUUUGAAUGUGUUGGGCUUAUGUUUCUAAAGACCUGUGAAGUGUCUGCUGGUCUAAUCCUCAUAAGCACAAAUAUUAUGCUAAUGGACUUAAAGAAAAUCACUGGUUUUCCCCAUGUCAUAAUGAUUGUUGGGAAAGGACGUUGGGCAUCAUCUCUUCCUAAGUACUGUAAAUCUAUAGGACUAUCACAAGCUAUUACUGCUGGUAUAAUGAGCCAUUUGGAUGCAUAAGUCUGAUAUGAGAUUGCUCACAUCUUUACUUUUUAAAGAUACCUGGCCCAGGAUAACCCCUGGCAUUAGAGGAGGCAGACAUUUCUCUCUUUUCUUAUGUAGGAAACUGGGUCGCCUGACUCCAGGUCCCCAGUCCCUCAGGUACCGGUUAAAUGUUCUUAAUAGUAUCAGGAGUAUUCACAUGCUUUAAGAGAUGGAGCUAUUUGCUAGAUUUGAGGUUUAACGUGCGUCUAAUUUUUAUGUCACUGAGUGUUUUAAAGACAAAGACAUGAGGAGCAGUGGAGCUGCAGGAGCAUCCCUCCUCAGCUAAAAGGAAACCCAUGCUUUCCUCUGUAGCUCAUUUUUCUCACCUUAAGUGUCAAAGCGUCUAUGCUGAAGUCCUACUGAAAUCCAAAUAGUGGUUUGGUUGUUGUUGUUUGUUUUUUUUCCAUGUAUUCCGUUAGAUCAGGCAAAUACCUGGUACUUUUUCCUGAGAACAAGUUGGGGUUGAGGAGCAUGUGCAGAGCUGAGGGCUCAGGUCUCCAGCUCUCCCCUUUGGGAAGCAGUAAUCGCUUCUCACACUGAAAAGAAUGCUUGGGUGUCAAAAGUUCCCUCAGAGUGAACAGCAUACACUGAGAAUACCUUCCAUGCUGAAAUCCCCUCUUGCUGCAGCCUGGGCAGUGAUGACAGAUAAGUUUCUAGGGAGCUUCUGGGAAGAUAAGUUGUUUGUUCUGUUAUUUUCUUCUUUUCCUGUGGUUCAUCAAUCUCUUAGUGUAAAUAUGUCGGGGAGGAGAAGCAGUUGUAUCAGCACUGAUCAGGUAUAUUUGCUGCAUUCGUUCUGAAAAAUGCAUAAGUGGGAAGCUGUGCAUGAACUGUUGGAGGAGGAUGUUCUCCUUCACACCACCCUGGAAAUAUAUAAAAGAAAUAAUAAUUAUUAUUUUUUUUUUUCCAAAAAUGCAACGUCUCUACAAACACCCACCAGUGCAUCCAGAAGGGCUUUAUCCUUGUCUAAUAGGAGAUGCCCAAGCCCUUACAACAUGAAGUUGCAAAUAUUUUAGCCUGUAAACAGAGGAAAGUGAGUAGCUCCAAUGAAUCCCUGCAGCAUCAUGGGGCAAAUUGACAUCCAUGCGCAGGAAGGAUGCUUGUAGCUUUACAGCCACAGCACGUGGCAAAAUAGCCAAUGGUCACCACCUCUGCAGCUGCAAGCUGCAGGCACGCAUUUUUGCACACUCCUUUCCCUGCCAAUUGUUUGCUUUGUAAUCAACAGUGCUGGUUUCUGGGCAUUAUCCAAUCCCACCCCCUAAUUUUGCAUCAAGUGAAAGCAUCAGUGAAGACAGGAAUGAGCGUGCAUGCAGAAUCGCUGUGCAAAUGCCACCCUAAAGCUCUUGCUGCCAAACCCAAGAUUCAUAAGCAAGGAAGGAUGGGGAUGAAAGCACUGGGGAAAGGAAUCUCCAGCACAAACAGGCAGUUUGGGCUGUGGGUGAUACUGGGACAGGUUGAGUAGAACCGGGUGCUUCCAGCAGGCUGUGGCUUGGCUUUCCAAAAUAGCAUGCUCCCCACUCCUGCAGUCUGGGUUAUUCUCCCUCACUCCCCAAGGCUGCAUUCGGUGUAAACAGCACCUUUAUUAAAAUUCUUCCUUCGGAAUGUUAAUUAAAUUACUAAAAAAUGACAAAUGGGGAAGCUGAAGACAUCACAACUGGAACAAAACCACGGAAUGUAACUGAAAAGGUUUUCUCCUGGUGAAGCAUGGGUGGACAAGGGCUCACCUGCUGCAGCAGCUCAGGGUGAUUUCUUUUAAUGGGGCUCCCAGGCUUUGGCUGUUGGCAUCUACACAGAUCCCAGGCACAUGUUCCUCUGCAGGAAAUACUGAAAGCAUUUGUUGUCCCAGAAAUCCUCCCAGAAGAGUUCUGGAUAUAUAUGGGAACAGCGGUAUGCAUCCAUACAACAUGUUAUAUGGGAGUACAUGGCAUUUUAUCAUCUGAUGCAGUUGUUGUGCAAUGAUGUCACACUACUUUGAUCACUCUAUAAACCCGUGUGCCAAAACAUCACCUUGGUCUGUGUUUUGGUACCCCACAGCCAUCUGAGCACUGAAUAGUAGGAAGCUUCCAUUUCACUUGAAGCAAGAAGAUGGAUGUGGGGAUUUUAAAGUUGGGCCAUGUAUUUAGGAGCUUAAACAUGGAUCUCACCUUCAGACAUCUACGUUUGGAAAUUUCUGCAGGUAUAUUUAUUGGUUAAUUAUAUCUUUAUGAAUGGGAACUUCAAUUCACUUAAUAAGGAAUUUGUAGAACGAUACAGGCUACUAUGAACCAAUGCAAGAAAUGUGGGGGCCAAGCCAAAGGCAGCUGUUAGACUUUGGGGGAACUUUCCAAGGACUGCUAAUAUACAGGGACAAACCUAAGACCAGGGCCAAAAAAUAAUUGCUAAUAUUCCUCCCAACAGUUUGUCUGUCAAACCUGUUCACCCUCAAAUCCCUUCUGAUGCUCUGCAUAGGAGCAAAUGGAGCUUCCAUUUCAACCAGGACAUGGACCUACCCAGGGUGUGAAAACUGGAUCCUCUCCAGUUGGCUUCUCAUAAAGCACAGCUCUGAGUGGAAGUUCUACCACUGACUUUGAAUGCCCCAGCAUCAGGCCCUGGCUCAGGGACUGCCAUCCUUUAGCCAACCACCCUGUAACUCCAUCAGGCCUAAUUGUCCUUCAUAGCCACUAACAGGCUGAUCUGAUGGCCCUCCAGACCCUGCUGGUUUCCUAGAAACCCUAUUAGCUUCUCAAACAAAGCAAUGCUGAGGACUCUGUCUUGCAAACCUUUUGUGCAAAUAUUAAAUAGCAGUGGAUAAUUAGCAGGAAUAAUCUUUUUUUCUUGACCUCUUCUGUAAUAAAGACCUUUGUCAGCAAAUGCAAACGUUAUUUUGAGCAGUAAUUCAUAAUCUAAAUCUGCUAAACACACCAGACUAAAUACACCUGCACUCUCAUAUCCAUAGUGUUUGUACAGGACUUUUAAAAGGGAUACAGACACAUUAUCUGUCCCAAAGACCUGAACACAUUCAUCUGUCAAGUGAGGCAGAGGAGGUGGCAAAAGAGGUGGUACAGAAGGGAAGAAGGAAAAUAAAACAGUAAAAAAAAAGUGCACAAAUAAAUUUACCCACUAAUUUAGAUUACACCUCUUGGGGCUCUACUCAUGCUUUGUGGGUAUUCUCCAAAUGAACUGCACGGUCCCAUUAACACCAAGAUGGCUAGCAAAAAAUCAGGUUGGCUCUCUUCCCUAAAGACAUCAUCCUCAUCCUUUCUUACCAGGAGAGAAAAAUCAAAUGGUUCCUUCAGCUUGUUGAGCAGGACACAAGCUUUGGACUCUUCCAGCCUGUUUUGGUUUCUCCCUCAAGACAAGCAGAGGGGUCUAAUGACUCUUGCCUCUUCCUCCCUAAUCUUCUAUUUAGCAAUAUCCUCUCUGGAAAUCCCCGAAAGAAAGGAGCUAGAAAUUGUCCCUCUCCUUUAGCAUUAGACCCACUUUUACCUUUGGUGGUCCACCAAUGCAUCUCUGGGCGCAGCAAUCAGAUUAUGUGGAUUUUGCCCACGGCAUUUUACUCUGCAGGUCCUUUUCCUUUGUAUGGUUUUUUUUUUCUUCUUCUUUUUUCUUUUUUUUUCUUUUUUCUGAGAGGAGAAAAAAAGAAAAGACAAGCAAACCAACAGGCAGAUAAUUGUUCUGUGCUGACAGUUUGUCAAGUGAAGGAAGUGCAAUUUUAGUCGAGAGAUCUACAUUACAGCGUUACUUGAGCAGAAGUCUCUUCUUUUACUCCCAGAUGGCAUUGACAUAUAGCCUGGAGGGGCUAUCAGGGUACAAAGCUAAAGAUGGUUAAAGACAUUAAAAACUGUACAAUAUGAGCACCGUCUACACUGGGACCAUCACCUAGGAUGAAGAUUCACCCUGACGUAUUGGGCAGAAAGCAAACUGAGCUGAAGGUAUUUUCAAGAUACAUGAAAAAAAUAUAUAUAUUCCUGCUCCUAACCGUGUCUUUUCUAGUGGGUCUUUAUUGACUCUUUAAAAACUAUGACCAAUAAAUGUAAUGAUCUGCCUUCCUCUUUCUUCCUGGGUGAAUGAUGGCUCCUGCAGGGUGUUUAUCACUGAGUGUAAUGGCUGGUUGAUCAGUUCGUGUCCAACUCCACUUCCCAGCAAGCUAUUGAACGCCUCCUCCUUGUCACGGGGCCGCCAGCAUUUCCCCCAUCCUGCCAGAGCUUCUGUUAAGCCGUAUAAUAAAUAUUGCACUCAGAACAAGAUUGUAAAUCUUGCCAUAGGACAGAGGGUAUUUGCUUUUCUGCCUUUCUUGAGUUUCGUGUUGCCUAAGUUGCUGUAAUGUACUUAAGCAGAGAACAGACUUAAUGCUCUUGCUUUCUUUUUAAUAAGAUGCAUAGCUCAUUUAUCCAGUAGGUGCAGCUGGAGGGGAAGAGAACUGCAAAGAGGGGACUUCACCUGCUGGAAAAUAUUCUCUACUUCCCCCAAAAGUGAUGAAAAUGUCAAUACUAUUGACACAAUCACUAAUUAAAAACGACUGCCAUAAUCAUGCAUAUGACAGCCGUAGGACAUCAGUUUGGAUUAAAUGUGAGCAGCAAGUUGUGCUGCACAUGGUUUCCAAAAGCAGAAAGGGCUGGGUGAUGUUAUCUGCUGUUGGAUGUACAUCCAAGAGAGAGAAGGAUGCUCUUAAACAUAGUUGCUCUUCUUUGCACAGCCCUGGUGCUUGCAUGGCCUGAAUUCUUCGCAGCAAUGAGAAAAAAGUGCGUCUGUUUUUACUUCCUUGUCCAUGUUUACUUAUUUGACUGAGGUUUAAGCAGUGCCCUCUGCUCUGUACAUAGUGUGGGCACCCAAUGUGCAGGCAGCCAUCCCAGCAGCUCAGUGCUCGUGCAUUGCUCCCAUUGAGUUGUAGUGACACCUCAGGCUGGGUGUGCAUAGCCUUUCCUCUUUCUCUCAAGGAGUAAAAUCCUUUUAUUUAGGGGUUUUAGCAUGCAGACUUACAACAAAAAAUAUCUUGUCAAUGCCCCACUUGGAUUAUUUCCUUACGCAUCGGUCUAACCGGGUGAGAAAGAAUUCCCAUUUAAAUGCCUACGGUUCUUGCAUUAUGCCUGUGAUAUGAAUGCAUGCCCAGGCAUCUCAUCUACUCCAGGUCAUUGUCUUUAAUUGGACAAGACCAAAAAUAAACACUGCGACCUUCCACAUAGUCCCAGGGGCUCCAGGGUGGGAUGGAGCCUGUUGGUUCUUAUCUAAGCAGAAAUGUGAAUCACUAGGAAAGUGUAUGUGCCUUUUCAUGGUGUGGAGCAUGGACCAAUGAGCCCUAAACCUCAGGAAGGACAGAAAGAGGGCCAACCCUCUGAGUAGGGAGAGUUGUUAGUCUCAGACAGAAGGAGGACAGCAUUCAACAAUUGACACUUCCCAAAUCUAAUCAGCCUGACCCCAAAACUACCAUUGGAAAGGCUUACGAUAUGUGCCCGUCUCCAUUGUAUAGCAGAGGGAGGAGUGUAAAGCUGUCAAUAAAAACUUGAAAAAAAGAAAGAUUUUAAGAAACCAAGGAACAGAAAGAAUGUGUUAACUAAGAGUUGGGCAGAGUGCUUCCAUCCUAGUGGUGGUGGAAGAGCCAAAGGUUUCCCAGUGAUGCACUUUUUUCAUUUGAAACCCUUGGUUGUUCCACCCAGCGUGCAGUUUGACAUUGGGAGUUUUUUAUGUGGCAUGUUAGGAGGUCCUCAAGCAUGAACUAAUUGAUUCAUGAGUGGAUGAAUCCGAUGCAUCUUUUAAAUGGAAAACCGACAUCAUUCUCCAUCAGAGAUCCGCUAAUAAAGCACAUUUACUUGGUUAAUCCAUUUUUUUUUUUCUGUGCUAAGUGCACUGUAUAAGGUAUAAAAAUAUCAAAUCAAUAGGCAAAGAGUAUAUAAAAACAAGUGAGCAGUGUGAGCCACCCUUGGGUGGGCUCCUUGCAGGACCUGAGUUGGAUCCCACUCCCAACACUGCACAGAGCAGCGGGGCUGCAGUGCACAGCUGUCCCUAUGAGCCCCAGGGGACAGCGGGUGCAGAGCCACCUGCUUUGGGGCCUCGUGGCACCACACUGCUCCCUAUUUUAAGCAGUAACUGGGUUAAAGGUGUCGGGUUAAUCUCCUUCUCUCAUUUGCUAGGAUUAUGAUAUUUAUUAUAGCAGAAGGAGCAGAGAAGCAGGAAUGCGUAUGGAAGACAGAGGCAUCUUCCAGCUCAGCCUGCACAAAUUCCCAUUUUUUUUUAAUUUUUCCAGGGGAAUACAGCAGUAUUAUUUCAGAGCAAAUGCCUGCACAGCCCCGUCUCUGCAAACACCACUCGAUCAGUGCAACUCUCUGGUGUGAGCUCAUUUAACAAGCGGUUGCCUUGCAGGCUGUGGAGAAUUGCCUCUUACCUAAUAAUUCUGCUAAUUUGCUUAACUUUCCCAGAUUGCAAAUGGCCCUGCCCUGAACAAGCAGCUUUCUAAAUGAACCCCCAGACAAUUUCUUGACAAGAAGGGAUCGGAGAGGUGCCUGCUCGGGGAGCUGAAGCUCUCAGCCUUUUUAUUUCUGACCUUUGGGCUAGCAUUCAGAUUUGCUUGUUGGGAAAACUGCAUUCCAAGUGUAUUUUCUUCAGGGAUUUACAAUACCCUUCUGCUUGUAAUUAUUCUCACCUGAUGUCUUCCAUAAAUUAGUUAAAGAUGCUUCUAUUAGUGAGCUCCCGUCCUGUUAAUUAUCGUGCUGCAGUUCCUUGCUGGUGGCCGCUCUGCAGCACCGGGGCUGCAUCCGUGCAAAGCUCCCGGCCGAGAGAUCAGGGAUGUAGUGUGUGGGUAAUACAAACGUCUGAGCAAUCUGGGAAAGAAAUGAAAACUGCUGUAAAGGUAAAUGUCAGACUAUUUAAAGACAAUGUUGACUAUUGAUUUUUCGGACGAGACUACCUCUUCAAAGGAUGGCAAGCGUUCCUUCGGAUCCAGACGAGGUAACUUAGGUGGAGGGGAAAGAGGGGGAGGUGAGGGAGUGGGGAGGGCAGAGAUUUUCCCAGCGAGCAAAACGAAUGCUUUACAAAACCGCUGGGAUCAAAGAUGUGGGUUGGGCUUUCCACAAAAUCCACCUUUCAGCCCCUUUAAGCACCAUGCCUUUCCCAAGAAACAAAGGGCUGAGAGGUGCUUGGAAGCACUGAUGAAUAAUAACAAGAUGAGUAGCAAAAUACUCGUUUCACUGCAGCUUUCCAUUGAAAAAUGAAACUUCAGGCACUCUCAGUGACUACUGAUGUGGCAAACUCACCAAGCUCCCUGAUCCCAUCCACGCUUCCUGGCACAUCAGCGUUGCAUGGGAUGAUGAGCAGAAAGGGGGAAGCAAAGCCAUCGUUCUCUAUGUACCUACAACCCAAAAUCUUUUGGGGGAAAUUACAAUCAAACUGGCAAUUUUGGGGUCAUCCUUUCGAACUUUGGCUUCAUACGGUUUAAAGGAAAAUGAAGCCUGGAAUAAAAACUUUGUCUUUUUAAAAAUGAAGUGCAUGUGUACAUCUAUAUAAAAUACACACGUAUGUAUGCAAAGACAGGUUUGGUGGGGAUCCUGAGUGACUCUGUGGAAACAGCACGGCCACCUCAGGAGACACUGGUGUGACUCCGAGCCCUGGCACAUGGAAACCACUCGAAUCUGUAGUUAAAUCUAAAUGAAAAGCCUAUUACUCAUAAAUAAAGGGGGGCUGGGCUGCUGCAGUAGUUUAAAGCAGAAUUCUUCAUCGGUGUUGGAAUUUAAAGAUUGUAAAAUGCCACUUUGAGGCAUUAUGCAGUUGUGCAGAAACACUUCUUCUGCAGUGAAUUUAGUUCCAAGAACAGAUCUGGACCUAAGAGCUAUUACCUCUUUGUUUUAAGGUGCAAUCUGUCAUCCUGCAAGCUUCCUCGCAUGAAAAGUUUCGGGAUUGGGUAUUGAAAGGGCAUCAGCAAGAGCUGCAAAUAGCCUUAAGGUGAUCCAGGAGCAACUCCGCUCCCAGCAGCGGCUGCUUGGGUGAUGCUGGGCAGGAUCUGAGGUGGGGACACGGCAGGACAGAUCCUCCCUGCUCCCUGCCUUCCCCUCUAUGGUGUUUUUUGGGUGCUUGAGUUUUAAGAUCGCAAGAGAACUUCUUUGGCACUCAACCCAACUUGCAGAAAGCCCUGAGUCCGUGCAGGUCCUAAGGACUGCUGCCUGGGGUAACUUCUGGUUUCCACGCCUUAUUUCAACGUGGAGGUCUUCAGACAGCGUUAAAUGACAGAUGAUAGAAUUUCUGCAAGUGAUGUUCAUCUGAAUUUUAUUUUCUGAUGUUUUGACUCAUUGACUUGAUGUCUCUCUAUUAUGCACACACCUCUGGAGAUGUUACUGGCUAUGAUUAUGCGUGGCAUCGAGUUAGUGAAUAAAACCACUGCAGGAACUGCUUUACAGAUCACAGUAUCAUUUUCUCUAUAAUUGUCCCACAAACGGUGGAAGUUAUAUGGAGAGAGCAGCGUUCCCUGACAGACUGCAUAUUUUUGCAGCGUGCAUCAGAUCUCACUUUGGCUUCUGAGACUUAUUUCUGAUGGUUCUUGGGGAUUUAACUUUAAGACCAACGUUUUUUAGUAUCCAUAUACACUCCACUCUUCAUGUCAUCCAGCAGCACCAGAGGAUGAGCUGUCUCCUUAAUAUGGAUGAGAUACCAAUUUAUCUAAGUUAUCACCUCACUAUCUCUCAUUCAUCUCUGCUGUUAACUGCUGUGUUUCUGACAUCCAUACCUAAACAAUCAGCAACUUCUUCUCCUUUAAUUGAAACCAUAAGUAAUUUUUGGCUGGAAGUUCUUGUUGUGUGUGUAUAACGGCUUCUUCAUCUCCCAGCUGGAAUUCAGUGAUCCUGUGACUGAAUCAGGCUCUGGACACCUCAUUUUAAACCCACAACAUCACACAGACCCACUCAGCACAGUAAAUCAAAAGUCAGGGCAUCUUGCCACCAUCUGAAGAUAUAUGACCAAAUUAACAUGUCCCAAGCUCACUGCGAACAACACUUGCGGAUGGCCCAGGCGUUUGGCUGCAAAGUCAGCAAAGCUUUCCCCCUUCCUGAUACAUUCCCAGAACUGUGAAACUUAGCCCUACUCUUGGUAUUCUCUUUAUAGAGGGCCCCGGCUGUAUUAUGUAUCAAAUAAAGGUCUCAUUACUUAGUUCCUGGCUCCUUCGUGCCAUUGCUCUCAUUAAUCAUCCUGUUCUUCCAGCCCAUGCUGCAAGCCAUUGGGACUGCCUCAGUGUCCACCCCUGAAUUAAAGGCUUCAUUCCCAGACCCUCCAAGCUGGUGGUCUCCAUCCUUUCGUGACCCACUGGCAUACAGCCCCACAUUGCUGGGGGCACUUGGCCAUGAUGUCUGGAGUGCCAGUGCAAAGAAGUGGUCUUCCAAGUCUCAUCUAGGGGUCACCAGGGUGUUGCAAAGAGCACUGUGUUGUGCCUGCACUGAGAGACUCAACAAGGACACAAAAUGGAGAACAGAUUUGGUCGUGCCCCAAAUCUGUUAAUUUCACCCCCAAUCUCCUUCCAAAAAUCGUUGCCAAUUAUUGAGUACAGCAAAUGUACACCACCCACUUCUGUCCUGCUUGGUUUCACCCCCUGCACAGGGAGCACCCAAAUGAGCCCCACACUCUGUACUCCCCCCAGCAGAGCAGCACAGCUGCUUUCCUCUCUUCCUUGUGGUUCUCAGCAUAGAUCCCACGGGGUUUGCCACUUUCUGUGGGUAAUAUUUUUUUGCAGAAGCACAAACGACUCGCUCAGAGCCUUGGAAUCUAGCUCCCUUUGUGCUGAGGAUGAAAUGCAAAGAGGCAGAAAUGCAGUGGAGAGCAAACUUCUCUCAGCUGCAUGAUUUUACCAAAUCUGAUGGUUUAUUCAUUUUAAUUACCCUUGGAAUUCGUAUUUGUGUAUACAUAUACAUGAAUUCAUGUAAUAACAUGUAAUUAGUUUAGAGUUUGACAUUUCAGAACAGGUAAUUAAAAGAGUUUGUUGUUGAUUAAUCGCUUGCAAAAUAAAUUAUUAGCAGUAUCACCGUUAACGUUAUGUUUAUUACUACAAUUUGGAGAAAUUAAGGCAGUUCACUUACAUUAAAUUAAACACGAAGGCACAGAUGUAAUGUACCCUAGACAAUAUCUAUUUACCCAGAGAACGAAUGUGAUGUGUGCGUUACAAUACAUUUGCUAGGUCAUACAUCUCGGAUGGCCUCUGCGUGUCACCACCAGAAACUUAACACCGACGCACGGACACUUCCCAUUUCUUUCCAUACAUAGAAAAUUCGGGUAUGCCGGACCUCAACCCCUGCUCUGCACUGCAGCUCUGCGGGAUCUGCGGAUGCUGCAGGGUGCUCAGAGCUGCCUGGGGAGGAGGGAGCAGGCUGAGCAUAGGAGCUAGCAGGGGCAUGAGGGGCCAUGCCAAAUGCAAGCCCACAAAGCCUGCAUGUGGCAAAGAAAAUCAAUUUUUUACAUCCUCAGCAGACCCCCAGGCCAUUGUCAUGAACCAGAUUAUAGCCAAAGUGUGCAGAAACGGAAUAAAUCUCAGCACGACUCAAUGAGGUGCUAAAGGCUUAAGCAGAUUGGUUAAGUAUAAGUUGAAUUUGAUCUUUAAGCAACUGUGCACGGUCUCUACUGGGAUGCCGAGAGGUUUUGUCCUGUGAGGAGAUAAGGAGCCCUUGCUUUUGACAACUGUUUUGUCUGGAGGCCCUUCUGAUCCGAGUCUGAGAGAGCAAAGGCAAAAGUCAGUGGAGAUGAAAAGGAUGCUCUCUGGAUCUGUCCCUCUGUGGUUUUAUAGCUAUGGGAAAUAAUCUAUAAUUAGGUGUAUAAAACAGCUCUCUGAUCUCUUUGCUUCUGGCCCAAAAGAGCACAGAAUUGAUAACUCAAUUAUCUCUGCUGGAAAUACAAAUAAAUUACAAGCACGUGGUGGGAGGAACUCCAAUAAAGGGGCACCCGCACAGCACAACGGGCGCUGCUCUGCAGCUGUGGGACCUCAACGCUGCUGCUGGGGUGAGGCUGGAAGGCAGUGGGUGCUCUUUGCUGGGGACUCCUUGAGGCUGAAUAUCUCUCUGGAUGGUGGCAGCCACUGGCAAAAGCACUGGGGCAAAGAUGGAACCCUCCCAAAUGGACCCAGGAGAAAAGCCAGGGCAAAAGCUCACUGGAAGAGGAGACACUGUCCUGGAAGAGCGUGGCUUCUCAGAAAGGUGAUGAGCUCAGCUUGGGAAUGGGGUGAGAAAAGCAGGGCUGGGUUUAAACAGCUUUCCACAAAUGAGAAUAAUGAGUGAUUAUCCUUUUCCUGGCAAAUUCCUGGGAGUUUCCAUUUGGAAUUUACAACCGGAGCAGUGUAGGAUCUCAGGGGUCUCCUUCAUGUUCUGCCAAGCCAGCAGAGCCACCAUCCAGCAUCUACACCAACACCAACCCCUCUCCCCGCUGAGGCUCGUUUCUAAUGACUCCUGGGCUGAAUUAACAGUCUGUGCUUGUGUGACAAUGACAAUCAGCGCUAAUGACCACUCUGUUUGUCUAAUCCACAUGCUGAGCACUGAUUUCGGUCCCUGCCUCAGACUCCCUUUGCAAAAGAGUCUUUUUAAGCAAUUUAAAAUGUGCAGGAUGCACUGGGCUGUCCAUCCCUGCUCCUUUGAUAUUCUGCCGCCUGGAAGUGUCCUUGAGCCAACAGGCAGCACCUGUAGCGAGGUGUGCCCUAGGAUGAUGCAAAGAGCAAGAUGAGAAAAGCCUUUGCAUUUCAUAUCCUGUUCGGUCGACCUAUUCAGUAAUCAGGAAAAUUAUAUUUAAACAAUUUGCCCUUUGAUGCAAUCCAAGCGGCUCUGAAGGGCAAGUGCACUAUCACAGAAAGCUCCGUUUUUAUUCUGCAGCACACUUCGUGACCCCACGGGGAGUGUGUGGCAGUGCAGAUCCGUGGUUUAUUUAGAAAAGGAAAACAAAAGCACUCAACUGCCCCCGAAACCUUUGUGCCCCUUCCAAAAUGUCCCCCAAUUCACGAGGAGCGGGAAAACCAACCCAACUAUUUCCUCCUAUUCGCUCUGCCCAUUGGCAUGCAUUGCUUCACUGCUGGGGAGAAACAAGGUAGCACAAUAAUAUUCACUUUAUGGACUUGACUUUUUUAUUUAGGCAGCAGCAUCUCCCGUAAAGAAGCCUGGUGCACGUCAUCCUUCCUCCCUGCCCAUGGCAUGGGGCAGACGGUAGAGCAAUUCCAGCUGAAAGCUUUUAGCUCCUGUAACCGAUGAUUUAUAUUUGUGCUGUAAUAGCCAGAUACAGCAAUAAUAGUAAGGAUUUAAUUGUUUUAAUGAAAGUAGCUUUUUUUUUUCCUGCAUUCGAAUCAAUUUGCUAAGUUUGGAUGAUGGAACGUAAGAAUGGAUUUAGCUGCGCUUUCCGCACGCUCUGAACAAAAAGGCACAAGGCAUUUCAAAAGAACCAGCCUGACAUAUUAAAACUCUUAAUAAGUAAUAUCUGCAUAACUAAAGGCAAUAGGAGCAGUCCAACCUGAAGAAAAAAGGGCUUUACAGGAAUUAGCGUCUCAUUGUCACAUUUGUAAAAGGGACACAUGCAUUUUUCAGAUCUUUGCACAUUAAUGGCUGUAUUUGAUUCAAAAUACAGUCAGUGAACCCUCAGUAAAUGGAAUUAAAUGGUAUGUGUCUGAUUUGAGGGUGACAAUCCGCCAAUUGUUUCUUGUUUGAAUUACUACCUGCGUGGCUGGGCACAGCAGUAAUUGAAACUAUAAUGUUUCAUUCCUCUUUAGCUAUAAUUUAUCUGCAAAGUUCACUCUCUGCUGUUCUGUUCCCCUUCCUGAAAUCUCUCCUUUAACCGUUAUGGUGCUGUUGGGGACUGUAUCCCUCCUGCACACCCCAUGGAGCUCUGGGGAGCCCACCCUCACAUGGCACCGUGGAUUUCCCAUCGAAACUCAGAGCACACAGCGGCUUUGAGACCAUCUUAUGGAAAAACCAGUACAUGGCAUCACCAAACGUUAAACACUGUGUAGUCAGAAUUAUUGGCUGAACGGAGGAGAACCCGACGUUGCUCUUUCUUCUAUCCAUGCCUCGCUUUUCUAUUUUAGUCAUUUAUUGUAUUCUAUGCAGAGGUGAUGGGGCUGGACUCAGUGAUCCUCAUGGGUCCCUUCUGACUCAGGAUAUUCUGUGAUUCUUUGAUUCUAUGACCUGUGGCUGCCACAGUAGGAUCAGUGCUCAGCUUCUGCUAUAGAUAACAAAUAGAUGGCCUCUCUCCUGAUGCUAUCCAUUUAUAAGCAAUUUCUAGUCUGUUCUCACCCGAUAUUGAUAAACAGAAGAAAAUGGAAUGUAUUUUAUUCAUCCAUAAAGUCUGACAUUUCCAAAGAUGGAAUUACAUUACCCUCCUCAUCUAUCUGCAGCUCGUGGGGCUGUGGGUUGGACAUGCCCAUGUACUGCAGAGCAAUGGCACCCAACCUCUGAGCCUUUACAGUGAGCCUCUCUGAGACAGGCAAGGACAUCAUCCAUACAAAAAACUGCAAUCACAAAACCCUAUCUCCCUGCCCAAGGGUAACUUGCUCUUGGCAGGGACGUUUCUACAAAAGCAUUCUCAUCUUACUGAGUCGGUACCACUACCCGUGUUCUGGGUGGGAUUUGAAUAAUGAAGGUUAAUUCAGGCAGAAAUCCUGUGUGGCUCGUGGCUGUCCAGGGAUGGGGUGGUGAUGCUGCCCACUGCCAUGGGGAGGUCCUGAGAGGAGACACAAAGAGAGGAUGGUAGAGAAGAGCACAGUGAGAUUUCAGAUUCUCAAAUAGCACAGCACUCAGAGCUGAGGAAGGGUCCUCAGCACACUGGGGCUGCCCUCCAGACACAAGAUGUGUGGAUAUGCUCCUGAAAGGCAUCCCUCGUAUCCACUCUCAAGCCCAUCACCAAUCCAUCCACCAACCUGCACCUGCUGGCACCCUGACAGGGCUCUGUGGUUGAGGUGGCUGAUCCAAGGAGAUGGGUGGAGAAUAGAGGUGGGCUGGCAUCUAAAUGCGGAGGAAGCUUGGCAGCACACAGAGAAGGCCAGGCAGGGAUGGAGCGAUGUGAAGCACGAGGAGGGCAGCUGCUGAGAGGAACAUCACCUGAAGCUAUUCCUUCCCUGGGCAAUUCCCUGUGUCAUGCCCCACCAGGAGGUCCCCUGGGCCCUGCAGGAAACGAAGAGCAAGAGGAGGAAGCCUUCUCUCCUCCACCCUCCUCCUGUCCCAAACUGCAUUUCCCCUUUGGAAACUGAGGGUGCCACUUCACCAUCCCUCCUGCAUCCCUUGAUGGGCUCCGAGGCUGCCCCUGACCCAAGGGUCAUGGCAAGGUUUUCUACAGGCAAAUCCUCAGCAACAGAAGUAAUCCCUCAGAUGGAGAUUUCACACAAACUGAGGCCUCCAGGGUUGUUUUGAAGCAACGUCCCACUCCUCCAGCUAACCUUCCGUACACAUAGGCUGUGUGUGAGGGGCUGUAUUUCAUGCCUUGGGUCACAGCCAUACUGAUUUAAGCCAGCCCUUUCUGGAUGUACCUGCUGAACACUCUUUUUUUAUGCUCACCUCAGAGUGCAGGCUGAAUAAUUGGAGCAAGUGGCUGCAUUUCUCCGAAUAAAAGUGGGAUUUGUAUGUGGCAGAGGUCAGCGGUGCUGGGAGGGAAAGGUAAUUGACAUUCCCUUUGGGAAUACUGUAAAAAUUUGGACAGUGAUUGCUUUGGAUUUAUUGUCUGAUGACAACAUGGAAACAAACAAACAGCACAAUUAAGUGCAACUAAAGCAGUUCGGUUAUGCUGUGAGACUGGUGGCAGAGAGGGACUGGUCAGAACCUGUCUGUUUUUCAGCUCUUUCCCACCAACAAUGACGUUAGGGCAUCACAACAUGAAAAAGAAUAAAAAUAAAGAAGCCAAUGAAGUGGCUCUGAGUGAUGCUGGGAAGUGUCCCUGCUCCCAUGGGGCUCCCUGUGAUGCUGCAAUGCUGAUGGGCUGCAGGUCGCCCUGAUGGAAUUUGUGUGGCAUCCCACACCCCACCGUGGUGAGAGGAGAGCCCAUCUGCUGUCCAGCCCACAUGCCUCUGAUAAAGAAAUACCUGUGUAUGUGAUAGAAAUGCAUGUAUAUACCCACACUGCUGCAAAUCUGGUGUGGAUGUGCUAGGUGCACAGCUCGGAUUAACCCUUUCCUGGGUCACCCCUGUUCUUGGAACAAAACGUGCAUUAAAUUAAAAUGUUAAGAGAUUAAUUUGUAGCAGCUUUUCGUCAGCUUCUGCUUAAAGGUCAGCUUCGAUAUCCUUGCUGUUGGGAUAUUUCCAACAGGGAGCAAAUUGCUGACCCUCAUUCCACUCCCCCUCCUCCAGUCUUUCUGAGCAAGGCACUGGUUGUGUGCAUGCGGGAGGGCUGUCAGCACCUGGCAAGGCAGUCCUGUGUGCUGGGACACUUUGCUCUGAGCUGAGCUGAAGCAAAGGCUCGGAUAUUGCUCGUUCAUGUGGGUUUGCACGAGCAGCCACAAACCCCAUGCAAAACUAUGGAGCAUCUCUGCUGCCUCAUUGUCACGUGUAUCAAACUGAUGUGUCAUUAAUAAUUAAAACUAUAUAUACUUUUCAAAUCUAAAGUACAGGACAGCAGUUCUUCAGCUGCUCCCUUGCCAGAGACAGCAUCUCUUCCUUUGCUUGCUCUCAUAGGUGCUGCUGCAGCACUGAGCUGUGCAAGCCUUGGACAUCGCCAUUCCUUUAUCACUCACUUCUGCCCAGGCUCUGUCUUUUCCCAUUAGGUGACUGUGCAGAAGUGUGUCCCACACCUCCUCUCGCUGUACCUCUAUCUCCAAACUGCAAUUGGGUUUCUUGGGGUUUAAUGGGAGCGCAGCAACUCCGGUGCAUUUAAAUAGCUGAUUUCUCCGCGUCUGAUUCAGGUCUUGCCUCCGGUGAUAUCAGCCUGGCUGCUGCUGGGGGACAAUGGCAUUCAGUGAAGGAGAAAAGCACUCAGGCACAUCUGUGGGGCAGGGCAGGUUUGGAUCCCACCAUCCCCAUGGUGAUGUCCCAGGGCCCUGCUGCUUCCCUUCUCAUUCUGAUGCACACCCCAAGCUCUGGGCAGUGCCAGCACCGCCAAUCAAUGCUCGGGCAGUUAUGGAUAGCCCACCUCGCCUCUCAGCUCAGAUUCCAAGGGGCUGCCUCCACACUGUGCCCAUGUCCCCUGCAUAUUUUGCUUCCCCUGAGACCCCUGUGCCACCCCAUGCACAGCCCUCCCAACCUGAGGCCGUGUCCCGCAGUGGCCGUGCUCUGCCCACCACCCGCACACAUCGCUCCUGACCCCGCAUCGCAGGGAUAAUUCCUGCUGUCACGUCUGACAUUUAGCCGUCCAGCGAGCCUUGCCAGGAAAUUGCCAUCAUUUCAGUUCGGCUCCCAGUUCCCAUUCUGAUUUAUAUUUUUGUUUUUAUCCAAUUUUUCUGACUUGUUUUGGUAGGGUGGACAAAAUGUUCUCUCCCAAGACAGAUGACAGUUUGCCGAUAAGAGGAGCAACUUAUCACAAGCAGCUCCAAUUCUUUCUCAAAUGCUUAGUCUGUUGGAACGGCUUUAAAGCCUAAUGCGAUAUUGUAGGUUAGCCCCAAAUCUGCUUCCCCCCCUGUAUUUCAUAUUUUAUGGCCCCGAGCAUCGCUCCUUUUAAAACAAAACACUUCAAUCUUCUCCCCACCAUCAACAGUUUUCUUCCUUCUUUCCCUUCGCUGUUAAUUUCACUUUUUAAAACUUAUUUUAGGAUGGCAAGUAAAAUAAACAGUGUGGAUGGGUGACCUCUUGGAAGCUCGGUGUCCUUGAGGCUAACUUUAGAAAUCAUUUGUCACAGGCACAGAAAUGUGCACUGCAAUCAGAAUUAGCUGCCAGAACUUUUUUUUUUUCCCCAGACAAUUAUAUUGUAAUUUGAGUGGCAUUCUUGACAAUAGUUCAGGUUCUCCAUCCAUACCCAGCAAACUGUGCACUGCAAAGAAAGAGUCCUGUCCUAUUCUGGUUUAAAAAUCCUUUUAUUUCAGUAUUUUUUGGGAAAUAAAUUAAAUAAGUGGUAGAAGAGAGGCAAGGAAACGGAAGAGCUUUGAGCUCUGGAGAUGAGCCCAGUAGGCUAAGAGGUUAUUAUAUGAUGGGGUUUAGUCCAGCAAAACGGACACCCUACCAGAACUGGGUGAAUAAUGUGCAAUUAGUCGUCUGGGCCAGAAAAACUCAGGUUAUUUCACGCCCUCAAAUAGUCCUCCAUUUCUGUGCAUAUAAUUUUGGGGCAAAGCCUCUGUAUUUAUGACAUUCGCUAAGAGAAGCAGAAGGAGCCAUGACCUGAAAUGAGGGAUCUCAAGCUGCAAGUCUCAGUCCCAUGGGGGUCAGCCCUCCAGGAGUUUUGUUCCAAGACCUUUCAAGGUCUGGAGACACCUGCAGCCAGCACAGUGCCUCUCUUACACGCAGUUUUUACUUGGAAAUAGGGAUGCGGUGUCUCACAAGGGCACAAUCCACCUAAUUAUUAUCUUUCCUCCACCUUUUUUCAUCCUUAAAUUAUGCUUUAAUGCAUCCUGUGAAUUCAGAUCCCAGUUCAGCAAGGUGCUAAGUCUUUGAACACCGAGAGCCCUCCUGAAGAGUCUCAACAUUAAGCCCCAUCCCACAGGACAGAUACUAAUUACCUCUCACAGCUUCCAUGAAAGAUGCAGCAUUUUACCUCCGAUCCAGAGCAUGUCCAUAAAUAUCAGCCCAGCUCGCAGACAAGCGAUGGGAAAUCUAAAUCACAGAGCUGGCCGGGGCUCACCCAUGGUUCAUCUUUGUACAGGAGAGAGCUGGGCCGAAAUCUCUGCAGGGCAGGAGGUCCAGAGGACAUUAUCGCGUGGUGCAAACAGCAGGGAAAAAUAUCCCAUCAAGAUGCUCAGGAUAAUCCCAUCUCCUCUGGAUUCCCAGGGAAGCUCAUAGAGAGCUCCUGAGUGCAUCGGUAAAUUUAACUGCAAAACCUAGGAGGAUUUCCAACCCUUCAAUGUUUUUCCAGCGUUUUGUUUGCCUUUUAUUAUCUCAAACAGAUAUUUUUUUUAUGGCACUGCUCCUUUAGAGAGAGCCAUCCUGUACAACACCCAGAAAAGCCCUUUGUGAGCCAGGUGGGCUCUGUGCUGGAAGAGAAGACAUCUCCCUACCUCUACAACCCCACGGCAGGCGCUCACCUGAGGGCUCCUUAGUGAAAAGCGGCGAAGUUAUCAAACACCAACCAAGUGUGGUGGCUUCAGUGCAUGUCUACAGAUCCCAAAGGUCCCAGCUCCCAGCCGUGCUGCCUUACCACUUAGUGUGAUGGGCUCUUGGUCAAACCUCGGAGAGAUGACACCUGGAGGGAAGGGAAAGGUGCUGGGAGUGGGCAUACAUGGGUGUCCCCGAGGAAGAGUGGGAUGAUACGGAGUGGCAAAGCUUCAGCGCCUCUUCCAGCACAACAAUCCAUCUCCAAGGCAGCCCCAUCCCAUAAAGUGCUGGCGGAUCGUAGGGGCGAAAUGGCGAUUUCACCCGCUAAUUAUAAAAAUGCCAGGCAAAAACCCUGCACGGGAUGAUUUCUUGCAUUAAACAAAUUUUAUAGCGGAGAAGACUUUUAGCGGCGCUAUUUGCAGCCCUGGCCUUUCGCCAGCUCGCUGUCAUUAAAUCCGCCGAUCUUAAGUAUCAGCUGCACUUAUUCGAAGGGGCUAUAAAUAAAAUGCUGGAGCCCAUUAAAGGAGCCUGCUUCCCCGGGCUGUUUGUCAUGGCUGCGGACAGACGGACACCGGGAGUAUUUGGGGGAACUUCCCAGCACUGCGGGGCUGAGCACAGGACUGAGCUUUCUCAUGCACACGGAUCUCUCUCACACCCUUGGCUUUGCAAAACCCAGCUCCUUUCUGCUGGUGCAGCCCCUGUGAAAAAUGCCCAGCAGCACUAAUGUGUGCCUAAUGACCCAUGGCCCAGAAAUGACUAAGAUACAGGAAUUAAAUUUACAAUCAACCUCUCUCUCUCUCUCUCUUUUUUUUUUUUUUUUUUUUUUUUUCUUUUUUUCCCCCUUGAAACCUUGGAAGCAAAAAGUUCCUCAUCACAGAACUCCAUGAAAAUGCCUCUCAGCCUCCAGGCAGAGCGGGUGCCUCUGUUCAGCAUGGAGGGACGCGGCUGUCACCGUGCCAGGUGUGACGCGGGGCUGCAUCAGAUCGAUGGCACGGCCGCAGGAGAGCUCACUAGUGAUGCCAGGUUUAUUUUGGAAGCUAAAACAAUGUAAAAUCAACACGGCACGCACUAAACGGAUGAAAACCCCACUGAUAUGUUUAAAUGUACGGCUGCGUGCAGACACUCAUCACAAGUGGCUGUGUUUCAGUUCAUCACUUUUAGCAAAAUGGUAGAAAAUCAAAACUAAUUACAAUCAAAGUUCGCUGAUGAGUUCGAUUUGGAUCAUGGUGGGGCUGAGGAUCAGCCUUCUCCUGAGUCAGAUUGAAGAAAAAACCACCCAGUUCAACACAGGCACAUACAAAGCCACACUUGGGAACUGGAAUUUCAUGGCAUUCAGGGGGAGGAGGGAUCCUAUAGCACAGCGCUGGAAGCUCAAACAAAUAGCAGAGUGGAAUACCUCUGGUGUAGCAUCUGCUGGGACCCUGCAGCUAUUUCUGGUGUCUGCAGCUCAAGAAGGAUGUUGAUGAAUGGGAGAGGGCUCCGAGGAGGCACACAAGAAUGACGGAAGCAUUGCAAGACAUGCCUUAUAGUGACAGAUUCAAGGACCCCAGUGCGCUUAGCUUAACAAAGAGGAGGUUAAGGGAUGGCUUAAUGACAAUCCAGAUGUGCUCAGACAGACAGAAAUGGAAAGCUCUUCAAUCGAGCAGACAGAGCAAUAAAAAGAGCCGGUAACUGCAAGCUGACACUGCAAAAUUCAUGCUGGGACAGGUGAACUUCUUAAACGGACAGAACCAACACCAGAACCACUUCCUAAGAAGCAGUUUCACCAUCUUUCACCAUUUCAAAUUCAUAUGGAUUUGUUUUUGUUUUGUUUUUAUGUAUAUCUCAGAUCCACCAAAGAUCACUCUUUAAAUGAACACUCAGAGACCCACACGGCAUGAACAGGAUUCGCCUCCCCUGAUUUCUUGAUGGCCUUAAUUAUGAGUAUUUAAGACAUCAUCCCUGAGCACUGAGUGGGACGACCCCCUCCUUUUGGAUCGUGGUCAGCCUCAGUGGUGACUCUCAUGGGCACCUCAGCUCUGCCAGAGGAAUGGCUCUGUGGUUCAGAAGCUGCUGGAAUUUCUCCUUUCAUGGAAGUUCCUCACAAAAGCCUUUGGUGCAGACGACUCUUGGGCAUCUCCAGAACUACCCUUUGGCUUCUCCUGGGGGCUGUCUUGUAAGCCCCAGUGACAUCUUUCAGUGCAGCUGGGGACAAACAGGUAUAUUUUAUUAAUACUAUUAUUAUUAAUGUAAAAUUAAUUUGGGCACUAAGAUGUUAUUUCUGGGUUAUCAGGCUCUGAAAAUAGCAUGAGGGGAGAAUUUUCCUUCCAAAGAAAUACUGUGAUGAGUGAAAGAGGUCAAAUAAGAACUGAUAUCCAAAAGCAAGAAAAUAAAAAUUGUUUUAUAACCAAUUUAUAUAAAAGGGACUUUAUCUUCUCGUAAUGUCUUUACCUUUAAAAGCAGGCCUUUACCUUAUAUAAAGGAUAUAAAAGAGAUAUAAUUUGUUAUCUUAACCUGCAAUGAGAUCAGCAAAGAUUUUAAGCCCCUCCACAGCCUACUCACUGUUCCACUGUAGUUCAUUAAUACCCAAACUCGUCCCAAUGUACGUGUAGGGCCUCACCCCUGCAGCUUGGAGGCUCUGCCUCAUCCCCCUGCUGACAUCACAGAGCAAAUGUGCAAGAGUCCUCUGCUCUUGAAUCCAUUGAAUCCAGCUCUGUGUUGGCCAGCCAGCACGACUGCCAUCGAUUUCAGGUUUGGGUCCAGGAACUGUGCAGAUGCUUUUGAAACUGGACAACAGCUCAGCGUUUAUAUUUUAUCUGAAGAAGCCUGAACCAGCAGAAAUGGUUUUAAAGCUAGGGCAACAUCAUUACCAUAGAGAUAAACAUUACUUUAAUGUGGUUCACCAUAACAACAGACCAUUUAUUAAAACACUUCACCAUUUAAUUUAUCCAGCGUUUUAUACUGAAGAGUAUUUUCAUUAGGAUUCCACUGCAAAACUGGAGAAGGCAUUAAAUCAUUUAAUAUACUGACAGCUCACUUAAUUUAUUUAAGCAGGGGACUCUAAUUUAAAAAAGCAGACCUUACACAGUGCCCUAUCUUUUCAGUCCUGGCAUGCAAGGUCCUAUUAAUUUCAGGGUACGGUGUUACAUUAAAUCAACUUGAGAUCCCACCAUGUGCUUUCCUUUGGUCAGCAGCCCCCUACAUUGCUGCACUUGCCAGAGCUGCCUGCAGGAACCUCUCUUGAUGCACACCAGCCUUGCUCCAUGCCUCUUGCUGCUGCUAAUGCCCGCGAGCAUCUCACCUUUUGCAUCCCAUGGUUGAAGGAUCAGCAGGGAACCAGGAAGCCCUGAGGUUCUUGGUGAAGUCUUCCGUUUAACUCCUGUUAACUGGGAUUUAGAAAUGCCUCUUGGCUUUGGAGCACUUGGUGAAGGCUGGGAGAAUCACUGUGACUUACUCCUAUCUCAGUUUGCACUGAAUUAGCAAGAAACGUGCAAUUAUCAUAGAGUCAUGGAACAUUUUGAGUUGGAAGGGAUCAGUCCUUGUGGCACACUACUUUUGUUCCCACAUUUGUCAUAAUAAAUGGAGCAGAAUAUUAUUACCUGUGCCAAAGCCCUGGGUGAGUCUGGGCUCUCUGAUGGCCGCUGGUUUCACUGCUGCCCAAGACUGGUAUUGAAGCAGACCCUCGGAAACAACAGCACAUUGUCAAUAGCAUGUGGGACAUUAUUAAUAAACACUAGGGAGCUUGAUAUGAUCUGGCAAAAGCAGCACAAUGAAAACAGGUACCAAAAGAAGGAUGGAGAGAAAGGGAAGUGAUCUGAACAGGGUGUUUAAUGACUCACCGGGCUGCGAAGCGCAGUGGAGAGCAAGGGUGGAAUAGAAAACAUUUUAAUGAAUUCAGCAUGCGCACCCUCUGAAGGCUCAGCUCCCCAUUCCCCAGCAAUAUUUGACCCACCCGAAGAUACUGAUCACACCGAAAUAAUAACCAGUAAGUAAUAAUAAUAGUAAUAAUAGGAAGAGCAAGACCCUCAUCUCCAAUUCAUAUUUAUAAUCCAGCAAAUAUCUCACCUAAAUCCGGAAGAUUUAUGGGUUUGCAUCUAUAAUUAAUAUCCCUCCUUAAGCAAGAAAGGGUAUAUUUUCAUAAAAAUAAAUCUGGUGCUCUAGACUGGAUUUGGAAAACUAAUAUUUAAAUCCCCAGCAAGAGAUGGUUAUUGAUCGCAUAUAUGUGUCUACAACAGAGACACGCCGUGCACAUAUAGACAGCAAGAAAAUUGCAUAUUUAUGUUUAGAAUAAAUAGAUAAAGUUUCUAUUUUAAAUGCAAUAGAUGAAACUUAAGCAGGAAAGAGGAGGAAGAUGGGCAGCUCCAAACUGCCCGUUUCCCAAAGAUUCAAUUUGCAUUAGGCCUGCUGCUAACGGCAGGGCUGCAGUGGGCACCAAGACACAUAAAGGGCCUCGGGACAAAGCAAUCGAUCUUGUUUUAGUUUUAUGAGGAAAAUAAACAGUCAGGCUGAUAUAACAGCAGGAGGGUCAAGCAGAGGCAGGGCUAAUGAAGUGACUCACAGGAGCUCAAAAUUAAAACAGUCUUCCUGUUCUCCAUCCUCCCUUGUAGGGGACACCUGCAUCUCCCCUAAAUCCCAUGGGUGAGCAACAGCAGAGAACCUGCUGAGCUCGGAGCUUGUUCAAUGCCUCAGCAUCCCCUGAGCAAUGGGAAAGGCCUGGCCAAGGCAAGCUCUGCCUCAGCUCAACAGGACCAUGCAGGCAGCUGUCUAAGUUGUACCAGGGAAGGAUAAGAUUGGAUAUUAGGAAAAAUUUCUUUCCAGAAAGAACAGUGAUGCAGAGGCACAGCUGCCCAGGGAGGUGGUGGAGUCACUGUCCCUGGAGGUGUUCUGGAAGUGUGGAGAUGUGGCACUGAGGGACGUGGGCAGUGGGCACCGUGGGAUGGGGUGGGGUUGGACUUGGGGAUCUCAGAGGUCUCUUCCAAUGUUAAUGGUGCUAUGACUCCAUAAUUCUAUGAUUUAGGGGUCACCUCACUUCCUGCACAGUAUCUACAUCCAAAUUUCAUUUUUUUUUUUCAUUCUUUUUACCUCCUCAGGUUUCUUUUCACUUCCCAGAACUGCAGCUAGCAGAGCGGGAAUGUGCCAGGUGAGCAGUUGAAGCACAGCUAGAAAAGGAUUGCUCCUCUGGUGCAAGCAGGGAUUUAGCUGAAAAAUACUGAGUUACUGGAAGUCUAAAAGUAGGCACUGUUCCAAGGUCAGGAGACUGAGCGUCACCUCACUCAGUGGUGCACUUUCCAUCAGAGGUAAAGCACUUCUGCUGUCCUGGAUCCAAAGUAAAGCCCAGACACUUGUAUUUAUGUUGUUCUAAGCUGUAUAACAACCCUAUUUAACAGAGAUUUUAAAUAUUCAUGGUUAAAUACUAUGAAUCAAAAAAAAAAAAAAAUCCCUUAUGCAGGCAGUUGUUGAAGGAGUUGGUGAGGGACUGUGUGCCAACAUGAGCACGCUGCUCAGAGCUCAUGGCAUCAGAGUGAACACAGAGGGAGCUUCUUUCCCCCAAAUGAUAGGCUAUGAGAAGUGCUAUGGCACUGGUAGAAGGAAGGAGAGAAAUGCCAUGGAGGAUGUGGGUGCCUUGCCCCUGCUCUAACCUGCAGCCAUGAGAUAUGGAAUAUAUCUAGGAUCACAUCUCUGGAAGGUUAAAUGCAGACAACGCAAGGGCUCCAAAAGCUGCAGGCAGCAUGGGGCAUUAGCCAAGGCACAGCUUUGCUGCAACCUCGUUUUCAUGAUUUAACAUUACUGCUGUAAAUAAUUGAUACUAAUGUGAGAUAAGAGACAGACUGUCUGUGGGCCAGGAGGAAGUGGAUCCUGGUGACAUCCACCCAAAAAUGUGCUUGCAGAUUUGGCUUGAGUGAAAGCGCUGAAAAGCCAAACACCCGAUCUGAGAGGCAGGGAAGGGAAGAGGGAUAGGAAAGGCAAGCUAGAUCAACUCAUAGGACUCCCAUUUUUCAAAAGAAAACUCCCUGUAUUAGUUCCUUCAACAAGAGAACAUCAGCAUCACCUAUCGUUGGUUAGCUUGCCAAGGUUUGCUCUUGCACUAGUCCUUAGGACAUGCUCAUGCAUUGUCAGAGGGUGGGAACCAGGGCGGGUAUGGGCAUG